UUUUUUUCUGUAUUUCAAAUACAAUCAUGUGGCUGAGUUGAAAGGCCUGUUCAGUGGAACUCUUGGAUUUAAGAAAACCAAGCAUACACAUCACUCUUAACUGUAAAAGGAGUCUGAGAUCUCCUUGGUUUUGUAGCCAGUAGUCAAACUCUUACUUUCCAAGAGCUGCCUCUGAAAUGCCAGUGAAGAUCUUAACUGCUUCAGAGACAGGAAGUAUGGACGUGGGUAGAAUAUGUGUAUUCUACACACCUUACAUAGAACUUCAUAAUCUGAGGUCAUUGAUUUCAGUCUGCUGUAAAUGUACUUCCAAGUGGCAUGAUUUGAGAUCAAGCUGAACAGGAUAUUGGGAAAACUUCUCCUCAACCACCUGCUUAGUUGCAGAUGAAAACAUGCUUUUAUGCCUCUGUUAGGAAGACAGAGUAUGACAAAGCCUCAAGCACACAUGAACUUAUUGUCACCAGCCACAAAGAUGAAAGCAUGCCCUAGUCACCUUUUGCAGUCCCAUAUUUUAGCCUGCAGUCAAAUGCAACUUAAUACUUUUUUCUUUUAGGUAAAGUACUAUUCUUUCUGGAGGGUGGAGGGUCUGUACAUAUGAAAGUGCUUGUUAACUGGGUCUUGGUUAACAAGACAUGGGUAACUUGUCACCAUGGUACAAUUAGGCAGAGAAAGUCUGGAUGAGGCAAUUUCUUCCUUGUGUCUUGCUGAUUUUUGACUUGGGAUUCCUCAGUUGGCGAUGUUAUGUUAAAAGCUUUUUGUUGACCUGACUUAUUUUAUGCUUGGAGAUGGGGGGGGGGGGGGGGGGGAGAGGGGAAGAGAAACUUGUCUUCCAUGCCUCUUGUUCAGAUGAUAUAAUACAAUUUGCUGUUAGAUAUUCCUUAGUUAACACCAACAGUUAAUGUAAGUUUUGAUUUCAUUUUGUUUGCUUCCCACAGGAGGAAGGUUGGGGCAGUGAGAGCAAAGCAGCAGCAUGAGAUCCACGCCUCAAUGCACUUGGUUACAUCUUAUUCCCACAUAGUCUCUGGUCACUGAGAUCUCCAGAGCCCUACACUAGUAUGUGUAAAACCACUCUGGUGAGCAGACCAGGCAGUGCUGGUUGUUAUUUUUUUCAACUGCUGUUCACCCUUCUGCCUUGGCAAUGGUUUUCAUACUCAAAUAUUUUGGGACCUUUAUCUCCUCAAUGCAGGGCUGAAAACUAUCUUCUAAUCCGUGCAGUGCUCUGGGCUGUAUGUAAUGAGGUUUCAAAGUCGCCUAGAAGUAUAAUGGGAUUGGUUUUUUGGUGGUUUUGUUUGUGGAGUUGGAGAAACUGUUUUGGGUUUAGGGUUUUUGGGGUUUUUUUCAGUGAGACAAAAUGCUUUUAUUUGUGUUUCA
rnacentral:lncRNA from 1 species